AACGAACGCUGGCGGCGCGCCUAAUACAUGCAAGUCGAGCGAGAAGACGUAGCAAUACGUUUGUAAAGCGGCGAACGGGUGAGGAAUACAUGGGUAACCUACCCUCGAGUGGGGAAUAACUAGCCGAAAGGUUAGCUAAUACCGCGUACGCUCCUUGGACUUCGGUUCAGGGAGGAAAGCGAUACCGUGGGUAUCGCGCUCUUGGAUGGGCUCAUGUCCUAUCAGCUUGUUGGGAGGUAACGGCUCACCAAGGCUUCGACGGGUAGCUGGUCUGAGAGGACGAUCAGCCACACUGGCACUGCGACACGGGCCAGACUCCUACGGGAGCAGCAGUAAGGAUAUUGCGCAAUGGGCGAAAGCCUGACGCAGCGACGCCGCGUGGGGGA
rnacentral:rRNA from 1 species